CGUCCUCGCCAACCACGUCGGUCAAAUUGAUGUGGUGAUAAGUCGCAGCUUCAACGCUCUGACUGUCAGAGCUUGCAUCGAAAACCUUUUCUGUGAAGGACACAUCAACUCCAAGGGGAAACCUCUCGACUACACGGCCAACUGCACCGCCGUCUGCCCUCCCGAACCUUUGCCCGGAGGCCGAGUUGAAAAAAACAGGAACUCUCAUCACUGGAUCAUCUCUGUCAUUGUCAUCGUCAUUGUCAUAGUGAUAGCGCUUGCAUGCAUCAUCCUGUGCUGCAGAUAUGAAAAUCUCAGGAGAUGCCGCUGUGGGCAAACCAGAGGACUUUACAUCGUUGCGAAUAAAGAAGCAGCAAAACCAGAAAUUGUGUAGAAAGAACAGAUCUGAAUCGAUGAUCUUUCCCCUUUUUUCACUUUAAAGCAGAAUGUGCAUGAAAAGGUUAAUCUCCACCUGUGUGGAUGCUUUCUGUAGUUUCCCACUGCAUCUACCCAGUAAGUGUAGACGCAGUUGGAGUGUAGGCACUUCCUCUGGACUUAUUUACAGUUUCUCUUUGUUCGUACUUUGGCACAGUUGAUGACAGCACAGUGGUGGUAAUGAGUGACAGAAUGACACUUAUUGACUGGACGCUGGAGACUUGAGGUGCUAAACUUUAACUCAUGUGUGACCUUUUAUUUUAAGCAUUACUU